GCGGAGGAAAAGAAACCAACAGGGAUUGCCCUAGUAACGGCGAGUGAAGCGGCAACAGCUCAAAUUUGAAAUCUGGCCUCGGCCCGAGUUGUAAUUUGCAGAGGAAGCUUUAGGCGCGGCACCUUCUGAGUCCCCUGGAACGGGGCGCCAUAGAGGGUGAGAGCCCCGUAUAGUUGGAUGCCUAGCCUGUGUAAAGCUCCUUCGACGAGUCGAGUAGUUUGGGAAUGCUGCUCAAAAUGGGAGGUAAAUUUCUUCUAAAGCUAAAUACCGGCCAGAGACCGAUAGCGCACAAGUAGAGUGAUCGAAAGAUGAAAAGCACUUUGAAAAGAGGGUUAAAAAGCACGUGAAAUUGUUGAAAGGGAAGCGCUUGUGACCAGACUUGCGCCGGGCUGAUCAUCCGGUGUUCUCACCGGUGCACUCGGCCCGGCACAGGCCAGCAUCGGUUCUCGCGGGGGGAUAAAGGUCCCGGGAACGUAGCUCCUCCGGGAGUGUUAUAGCCCGGGGCGUAAUGCCCUCGCGGGGACCGAGGUUCGCGCAUCUGCAAGGAUGCUGGCGUAAUGGUCAUCAGCGACCCGUCUUGAAACACGGACCAAGGAGUCAAGGUUUUGCGCGAGUGUUUGGGUGUCAAACCCGCACGCGUAAUGAAAGUGAACGUAGGUGAGAGCUUCGGCGCAUCAUCGACCGAUCCUGAUGUUUUCGGAUGGAUUUGAGUAGGAGCGUUAAGCCUUGGACCCGAAAGAUGGUGAACUAUGCUUGGAUAGGGUGAAGCCAGAGGAAACUCUGGUGGAGGCUCGCAGCGGUUCUGACGUGCAAAUCGAUCGUCAAAUCUGAGCAUGGGGGCGAAAGA
rnacentral:rRNA from 1 species